rnacentral:misc_RNA from 1 species
AGGAAAGAAGAAAAACAAACCAUAGCGAAGACAAUGGAAAUUGAAGAUUUAACUAAUUCUCUUGUUGCUGGUGAAUUGAAGAGUCUUUCAAUAUGUUUUGAUAUUCCCAAGGAUGUGAGGGGAAAAAAUGAAAUUCAUCAUUUAGAUCAUAUUGUUACCAUCGAAGAAGAUACCGUUGCUUGAUCUCCAAAUCCGAUUCUUGAUUCUUUAGCACUACAAACCUUGAGGUCGAGUUUUCUCCAAUCA